AACGCACAUUGCGCCCGCCAGUAUUCUGGCGGGCAUGCCUGUUCGAGCGUCAUUUCCACCAUCAAGCCCUGGGCUUGUGUUGGGGACCUGCGGCCGCCCGCAGGCCCUGAAAUCCAGUGGCGGGCUCGCUGGCACACCGAGCGUAGUAGCAUCAACCUCGCUCAGGGCGUGCCGCGGGUGCCGGCCGUAAAACAGCCUUGUCUCAGCACUAGGUUGACCUCGGAUCAGGUAGGAGGACCCGCUGAACUUAA
rnacentral:misc_RNA from 1 species